rnacentral:rRNA from 1 species
GGUGGAUUAGUGGCGAACGGGUGAGUAACACGUGAGUAACCUGCCCUUAACUCUGGGAUAAGCCUGGGAAACUGGGUCUAAUACCGGAUAGGAGCGCCUACCGCAUGGUGGGUGUUGGAAAGAUUUAUCGGUUUUGGAUGGACUCGCGGCCUAUCAGCUUGUUGGUGAGGUAAUGGCUCACCAAGGCGACGACGGGUAGCCGGCCUGAGAGGGUGACCGGCCACACUGGGACUGAGACACGGCCCAGACUCCUACGGGAGGCAGCAGUGGGGAAUAUUGCACAAUGGGCGAAAGCCUGAUGCAGCGACGCCGCGUGAGGGAUGACGGCCUUCGGGUUGUAAACCUCUUUCAGUAGGGAAGAAGCGAAAGUGACGGUACCUGCAGAAGAAGCACCGGCUAACUACGUGCCAGCAGCCGCGGUAAUACGUAGGGUGCGAGCGUUAUCCGGAAUUAUUGGGCGUAAAGAGCUCGUAGGCGGUUUGUCGCGUCUGUCGUGAAAGUCCGGGGCUUAACCCCGGAUCUGCGGUGGGUACGGGCAGACUAGAGUGCAGUAGGGGAGACUGGAAUUCCUGGUGUAGCGGUGGAAUGCGCAGAUAUCAGGAGGAACACCGAUGGCGAAGGCAGGUCUCUGGGCUGUAACUGACGCUGAGGAGCGAAAGCAUGGGGAGCGAACAGGAUUAGAUACCCUGGUAGUCCAUGCCGUAAACGUUGGGCACUAGGUGUGGGGACCAUUCCACGGUUUCCGCGCCGCAGCUAACGCAUUAAGUGCCCCGCCUGGGGAGUACGGCCGCAAGGCUAAAACUCAAAGGAAUUGACGGGGGCCCGCACAAGCGGCGGAGCAUGCGGAUUAAUUCGAUGCAACGCGAAGAACCUUACCAAGGCUUGACAUGUUCUCGAUCGCCGUAGAGAUACGGUUUCCCCUUUGGGGCGGGUUCACAGGUGGUGCAUGGUUGUCGUCAGCUCGUGUCGUGAGAUGUUGGGUUAAGUCCCGCAACGAGCGCAACCCUCGUUCCAUGUUGCCAGCACGUAAUGGUGGGGGACUCAUGG